UUUUACAGCUUUGAUGACUGUCCAAACCACUGACCAAAAUGUGCUGGCUUGCUGCGGUGACGAGGCCUACAAUCCAGUCAAUGAAAUAUGCUGUGACUCAGCCAUCAGGGUGAAACCUGCUGUUAAGAGCAAGUGUUGUGGUAAAGAGGCCAUCAAUGAGGAUAAGCAGUUGUGCUGUCAAAUCAACAAGACGAUAACAAGGACUUCAAGUCUAUACCAGUGCUGUGGAAGUGAAGAGUAUAACACUGAGACUCACUGUUGUGAUAGCGAAUUACAAAUCAAACCACUCGGUAAUAGUUCCAUAACCUCAAGAAGACUGACUGAUGACUGUGAACCAGAAAGCAAAAUCUGGACUGAUCAGCACUACUGUGGGCCUAAAGUUUUCAGACCUGAGAAAGAGAUCUGCUGCAGUGGACACAGAUAUAACAAAGCAGGAAAUGAUCACUGCUGUGGGGUGAAAGCCUACAACAUUACAGACCCAAAGAUGAAGUGCUGUGCAGGAACACUGCACCGUCUCACAGCUGCAACUGCAAAUGGCGAGUGCUGUGGAUCCAUUCUGUACACAGAGGGUGUUUGCUGCCUGAGUGAGGAUAAAGAGGUGUUCUACUCUGCAAAGACAGAUUUCAGAUGUUGUGGACAUCUCUACUACAACACCUCUCUGUGGUCAUGCUGUGCAGGGAAACUGAGACCUCGGAAAUCAGGGGUGUUCCACAACUCCACAAUUUUGUCCUUGAACAAACUGAAUCAAACACAACUUUGCAAACCAAUAAAGAUUGGGACUGUGGAAAGUGUAUCUCAGCACAGCAUCGUGUUCAGCAGUUUGCUGGAAAUCAAUGGGCAAAUUGCUUCUUUGAAACCUCUGGACUGGCAUUAUUCCUGGAACAAACCUUAUUUACCUGAACUAACUCCUGGGAAGACUUAUUUCUUCAACGAUAAUAAUGUCUUCAUUGAUUUCAAUCAUGACUCUCUUCUUCAGUCGAUCCGUUUCAUUAUUUCCAAAUGUUAGUCCUGUCCUGGUUAAUCUGCUCCAGUGUGCAAUAUGAAAUUAGUUCCCAGAGAGUGACAAAAGCUUCAGUAGUAAAAUAUGUACUUUGUGCAGUCAAAGUCAUGCAAUAAGAUGGUGCACUAAAUAGUGUGUUGUCUGCGUUCUCAUAGUGAGUUCUCAUAAAAGCUCUUUACAGUUUUGUUCUCCAGAUUUUUUUUCUUUUCAAAUUUGUAUUAUGUAACAAAAAACAUAAAAACUGCAGUUGUUUGGGCAGAUGCGAUUUGUUGCUAAUUUGCUCUACUAUCAGCAAUAAAAGCUAAAUUUGCAGGUGCCCUAUGAUGUCUGCAUAUUUAUCUUUAACUGUGUUUAUAUUGUUUACUUCUCAAGUUUUACUCAAUAGCUAAUUUUUCCCUGAGGUCUUUGAACUGUUCUGUAUUACUAUAUAUUCAAAUGUAUACAAAAAUCAGUUAUCAUCAUCAUCAUAAAUGUAUUCAUAUUUUAUCCAGUGAAUAAAUUUUAAAAGAAUA
ensembl:lncRNA